rnacentral:rRNA from 1 species
AGUCGAGCGACAGUCUUCCUUCGGGGAGACGGAGGAGCGGCUAACGGGGUAGUAAUGCAUCGGAACGUACCCUUCUGUCCGGGAUAGCCACGGGAAACUGUGAGUAAUACCGGAUAAUAUCUUCGGAUCAAAGGUCCGCCGCGGAAGGAGCGGCCGAUGUGAGACUAGGUAGUUGGUGGGGUAAUGGCCUACCAAGCCGAAGAUCUCUAGGGGGUGUGAGAGCAUGGCCCCCACCACUGGGACUGAGACACUGCCCAGACACCUACGGGUGGCUGCAGUCGAGAAUCUUUGGCAAUGGGCGAAAGCCUGACCAAGCGACGCUGCGUGCGGGAUGAAGGCCCUUGGGUUGUAAACCGCUGUCAGAGGGGAUCAAAGGAAACUUGAGAGAGCCUCAGAGGAAGCGCGGGCUAAGUUCGUGCCAGCAGCCGCGGUAAUACGAACUGCGCAAACGUUAUUCGGAAUCACUGGGCUUACAGGGUGCGUAGGCGGCCAGUCAGGUCAGAUGUGAAAUCCCACAGCUCAACUGUGGAACUGCAUUUGAAACCUAUUGGCUAGAGUGAGCUAGAGGUACACGGAACUUCCGGUGGAGCGGUGAUAUGUGUUGAUAUCGGAAGGAACACCAGAGGCGAAAGCGGUGUACUGGAGCUUGUCUGACGCUGAGGCACGAAAGCCAGGGGAGCGAACGGGAUU